rnacentral:lncRNA from 1 species
AUGAGAAUCCCUGAAUCUCAUUCUUUCCUCAAGCACUACUUGAAUGUCACUGUUGUAAAGGAUGACCCUCUUUAUUCACAAGGAGACAACACUGGCUUUAGGAUAUCUCUCUUACAGCCAAAGGCUGGCCAAAUGUCCUAUUAUCAGAUGGAGGCUCUCAGACUCAGAGAGAUGAAGAGACUUUCCCACAAAACUACUAAGUGCCAGAUCCAGAAUUUGUAUCCAUUGUCGAACCCCAAAGUCCAGGUUCCUUCCACGAUCCAGAGCUCUCUCAACAGAAGCACCUUCAGCUCAGGCUUUCACUGGGCCAUAAUGGGCUACUAUAGUUCUCCGAUGGGGGUUUUGAACACAUUACCAGCUUUUUGAAAUUAAACAUUAUCUCCAACAUUUUAUUCUUUCUUUCCUUCACUCAUUCACUUAUUCACUAAUCAAAC